GCUGGGUGCGGUGGCAUGUUCCUAUAGUCCCAGCUACUUGGGAAGCUGAGCUUGGAGGAUCCCUUGAGUCCAGGAGUUCUGGGCUGUAGUAUGCUGUGCCAAUUGGGUGUCUGCACUAAGUUUGGCAAGAGUAAGGUGAUCUCCUGGGAGGGGGGACUACCAGGUUGCCUAAGGAGGGGUGAACAAGCCCAGAUGGGAAAUAGAGCAAGUCAAAACACCCAUGCUGAUCAAAUUGCAGGUAUUCCAGGGGCUUCCAGAAGAUUGAGGUAGAGGUUGGGGAGAAAAUAUGGGCAUCAGGACUUC
rnacentral:SRP_RNA from 1 species